UUAAUUGAAGUCAAUAUUUCUGAGACAAUCCACUGUUAAUGGUAGAAAGAAUACAGUUAUUCCAAUUAAG
rnacentral:tRNA from 1 species